rnacentral:rRNA from 1 species
UGGUAAGUUAGAAAGGCGCACGGUGCGAUUGCCUUGACACUAGGAGUCGAUUGAAGACGGGACUAACGCCGAUAUGCUUCGGGGAUCGUAAGGAAGUUGGAUCCCGAAGAUUUCCGAAUGGGGAAACCCCACCAUACGUAAUGGUUAUGUAUCCGUAUCUGAAUACAUUAGUGUAAGAAGACAGGCCCAGGAAACUGAAACAUCUAAGACCUGGAGGAAGAGAAAGCAAAUGCAUUUCCUGAGUAGCGGGAGCGAAACGAACAUUAGCCCAAACAAGAGCUUGCCCUCUGUGGUUGUAGACAUUCUAUACGAGUUACAAAGGAACGAGGUAGGACGAAGCGACCUGGAAAGGUCCGUCGUAAGAGUGUAACAACCCCUAGUCAAACUUCGUUCUCUCUUGAAUGUAUCCUGAGUACGGCGAAACACGUGAAAUUCUGGUCCGGAAUCUGGAGGACCACUCUCCCAAGCUAAAUACUCCCUAGGGAUCGUAGUGAACCAGUACCUGAGGGAAAGUGAAAAAGCACCCCGGAAAGGGAUGAAAGAAUCCUAAACCGUGGCCUACAAAAGUCAGAGCCGUUAACGGGUGAUGGCUCGUCUUGUAGGAAAUGAACCGGCGAGUUCGAUCCCCGUGCGAGGUUAAGCUGAAGAGGCGGAGCCGCAGCGAAAGCGAGUCUGAAUAGGCGUUUAGUACGGGUCGUAGACCCGAAACCAGUCAUCUACCAUGUCCAGCGGAAGUUCAAGGGUAACACUGAAUGGAGGCCCGAACCCACGCGACGUUGAAAAGGCGGAUGAGGUUGGUAGCGGAGAAAUUCAAUCGAACCUGGAGAUAGCUGGUUCUCCCCUAAAUUAGCUUUAGCUAGCUUUAAGUGUAAAGUCUGGAGGUAGAGCACGAUUGACUAGGGUUCCUCAUCGGAUUACCGAAUUCCAGUCCAAACUCCGAAUGCCAGAGACUUUUUCCUUAGAGUCAGACUGCGAUGAUAAGAUCCCGUAGUCAAAAGGAAACAGCCCAGACCGCCAGCUAAGUCCCAAAGUGUGUAUAAGUGAAAAGGAUGUGGAGUUUGCUUAGAAACUAGGAGUUGGCUUAGAAGCAGCCACACAUUGAAAGAGCUGCGUAAUAGCUACUAGUCGAUGACUCUGCGCCGAAAAUGUUACCGGGGCAAAUACACCACCGAAGCUGCGGAUUGAUACGGAGUAUCAUGUAGGGAGCUUUCUAAGGACAGUGAGUCAGACCGUAAGGACUGGUGGGUGCUUGAUUGAGAAUGCCGGUAUGAGUAGCGAAAGACGGUGAGAAUCCCGUCCACCGAAUGCCUAAGUUUCCUGAGGAAGGCCUCGUCCGCUUCAGGUUAAGUCAGGACUAAGCCGAGGCCGACAGGCGGAGGCGAUGACAAAACAGGUUGAUAUCCUGUACACCUCUUUAUCGGUUUGAGCAAUGAGGACGCCAGAAGAUUAGAAGAAGCGUGCGAUUGGUUGUGCACGUCCAAGCAGUUAGGCUGAUAAGAGGCAAAUCCGCUUAUCUAUAAAGGCUGGCUGUGAUGUGGAAGCUCCCUUAUGAGCGAAGUUCUUAUGCCCCGCUGCCAAGAAAAGCUCUAGCGAGAUAAAAGGUCCUGUACCGCAAACGACACAGGUAGGCGAGGAGAGAAUCCUAAGGUGUGCGAAGAACUCUGGUUAAGGAACUCGGCAAAGACCCCGUAAUUCGGGAAAGGGUGUUUCCUUAACGGAAAGCCGCAGUGAUAGGCCCAAGCGACGUUUAGCAAAAACACAGCUCUCUGCCGCAAGCCGUAAGGCAAGUAUAGGGGUGACACCUGCCCGUGCUGCGAAAGGUUAAGGAGAGGGUUAGCGGAAGCGAAGCUUCUUAACAUGAACCCCAGUAAACGGCGGCCGUAAACUAUAACGGUCCUUAAGGUAGCGAUUCUUGUCGGGUAAGUUCCGGACCCGCCACGAAAAGGUUUAACGAUUUGCGGCACGUCUUCCAACCAGAGACUCGGUGAAAGUAUAGUACCUGUGAAGCAUCAGGUUACCGCGACAGACGAAAAGACCCCGGGAGCUUUACUGUUAAGCCUGAUAUUGAAUUGGUACAGUUGUACAGAUAGGCGGAGCCAUUGAAACCGGAGCGCUAGCUCGGUGGAGGCGCCUGUGGAGGAACCGCCCUGACUGUAUUGAAUAAUUCUAACCUACGCGGUCUUAUCGACCCGGGAGACAGUGUCAGGUGGGGCAGUUGGACGGGCGUUCGGCCUCUAAAGUGUAACGGAGGCGCCCAAAGGUUCCCUCAGAAAUGGUUGGAAAUCAUUACGUAGAGCUGCAAAGGCAUAAGGGAGCGUGACUGCGAGGACCUAACAGUCGAGCAGGACGAAAGUCGGCUUAUUGAUCCGGUUGGUUGCCGCAUGGAAGGGCCACGCCUUCAACGGAUCAAAAGGCUUACCCCGGAUAAACAGCUUAUCUCCCAAGAGUCCACAGGCGAACGGAGGUUGGCACCUCGAUGUCGGCUCAUCGCAUCCUGGGCUGAGUCGUCCCAAGGGUUGGCUGUUCGCCCAUUAAAGCGGUACGCGAAGCUGGGGUUAAACUCGUGAGACAGGUCCGGUCCCUAUCCGUCGUGGGCGUAGAAUUGUGGAGAGGAGCUGUCCUUAGUACGAGAGGACCGGAUGGACGCACCGCUGGUUACCAGUUGUUCUGCCAAGGGCAUAGCUGGGUAGCUAGUGCGGAAGCGGAAUAAAGCUCGAAAAGCAUCUAAAGCAUGAAGCCCCCCUCAAGAUGAGAUUUUCCCCAUAGCGUAGCUAAGAAGGAUCCCUGAAGAUGAUCAGGUUGAUAGGUUCGAGUGAAGCAUCUGUGACAUUGUUGGAGCGACGAAUACUAAUAGAUCGGAGGACUUACCA